rnacentral:lncRNA from 1 species
CUGCAAGCGAGAGCGGCGGCGGCAGCAGCAGGCGAGGGCUGGCCCCAGGCUGGCUCGGCUCCGCGCAGCUGGGAGUGCGUGUGCGUGUACAAAGCCGGAGCCCGGGAGCUGCCCGAGGGCGGUGCUCGGCACCACAACGCCAACCUCCCCCUCCCUUCCCUGCCCUCCCCCCCCCCCCUCCCGCCGAGAUCAGUCUCUGCCACGGAAGGAGUGGGGAACCGCAGGGGACGCGGCCGGGCCGGCGCACGCUUCAGCUGCAGCCCCGCCGAGGCCGCCCAUUGGGAAGAUCCGUGCUGGCUCUCAGGGGAUUCAAAUCGGCCCUUAAUGCGGGGUAGCUCCUAACGUGGGCGCAGCUGAGCAGGGCACGGCGAUGGAGCAGCUUACGCUUAAUGCUGCUGCAGACCUCAGCCUUAAGGAACAGAUAAUGUGCCCUUCUGCCGUUAACCUUUACAUAAUGCAAGUGGGAAAAAAAGCCUCAUCACUACUGAGCGCAUCCGAGUGCAGCCUGGCUGCAGUUUAACCAUGAUACUGAAAGCGUCGUCAUGUUUUGGUAUACUCCUUUCUGAGCCUGCUGGAAACCUUGGAGAAGUGACAAACGGGACUCAGAAGCAUGCAAGAAAAGUUACUUCUGGGCAAAACAUCAUCCAUCAGGAUACCACUUACAGUGUAUUUUGGUAGAAGUCCCCAAAUUACAGUUCUUCAAAAUUAAAAUAAAGAUCACGCAUAAUAUGGGCAGCUUGUUUCUGGAUUUCACAGAGCUCCCAUCUUUUGCUGCAAGCUGCUUCUAAUGUUGCAAUGAAAUCCAUAUUCUGCUGCUUCUACUUCUGUUUUGCACCAGGUUUCUUGUUUUUAAACAUAUUGUGUUCGAUGGGGAGUGUGACUUGACUGUCAAAUGGCAAUGCUGUAUAUGCAGCCUUUACAACUGCCAGCCUGAAUGAUUCCAUGGGUGAAAUCACAUUGGUCAGGUGGUGUUGGCAUGGUUCAUGCAGUGGGUGCAUAUUGCAUGGGGGCAGGCUGCAUUGCUGGCCCCGGGGCCUACUGACACGCAGUGCCAGGCUGCAGUGCUGGGAGCAUUGGGGCCUACUGGACACACAGUGCCAGGCUGCAGUGCUGGGAGCAUUGGGGCCUACUGACACCCAGUGCCAGGCUGCCAUGCUGGGAGCAUUGGGGCCUACUGACACACAGUGCCAGGUCACAGUGCUGGGAGUGUUGGGGCCUACUGACACACAGUGCCAGGCUGCAGUGCUGGGAGCACUGGGGCCUACUCAGUACUGGGGCCUACUGACACACAGUGCUGGCUCAACGCCACUUACAGAGCAGGGUGCU